GCUCAUCCUAAAGAAGCUGGGGCAACUGGUGCAUUAUGUCGGGCCUUAAAACGGCCAACCGCAUACUCGCGCGGUGCAGGCAACUCAGUUGCCUGACAUGGCAACUCCGUCGCCAUCCAUCUUGGGCCGGUGAGAGGAGGAGAGAAACUCACCCCGGGAGCUUCGUGAGUGUUAUGAAUUGCUUUAAAAUCCUGAUUGACGACCUUCUUGGGUUUGGACACGGUCUGCUCGGGCCAGGAGUCCAGAGUAAAGCUCAGUAGGCAUCGCGCCCAUAGGCCAGUCACUUCACUCAGUGGCUG